rnacentral:rRNA from 1 species
UUCUCAGGACGAACGCUGGCGGCGUGCCUAAUACAUGCAAGUCGAGCGGACAGAAGGGAGCUUGCUCCCGGAUGUUAGCGGCGGACGGGUGAGUAACACGUGGGUAACCUGCCUGUAAGACUGGNAUAACUCCGGGAAACCGGAGCUAAUACCGGAUAGUUCCUUGAACCGCAUGGUUCAAGGAUGAAAGACGGUUUCGGCUGUCACUUACAGAUGGACCCGCGGCGCAUUAGCUAGUUGGUGGGGUAAUGGCUCACCAAGGCGACGAUGCGUAGCCGACCUGAGAGGGUGAUCGGCCACACUGGGACUGAGACACGGCCCAGACUCCUACGGGAGGCAGCAGUAGGGAAUCUUCCGCAAUGGACGAAAGUCUGACGGAGCAACGCCGCGUGAGUGAUGAAGGUUUUCGGAUCGUAAAGCUCUGUUGUUAGGGAAGAACAAGUGCGAGAGUAACUGCUCGCACCUUGACGGUACCUAACCAGAAAGCCACGGCUAACUACGUGCCAGCAGCCGCGGUAAUAC